AGAGUUUGAUCAUGGCUCAGAUUGAACGCUGGCGGAAUGCUUUACACAUGCAAGUCGAACGGCAGCACGGGAGCUUGCUCCUGGUGGCGAGUGGCGAACGGGUGAGUAAUAUAUCGGAACAUGUCCGGAAGUGGGGGAUAGCUCGGCGAAAGCCGGAUUAAUACCGCAUAUGCCCUGAGGGGGAAAGCGGGGGAUCGUAAGACCUCGCGCUUUCGGAGUGGCCGAUAUCGGAUUAGCUAGUUGGUGGGGUAAAGGCUCACCAAGGCGACGAUCCGUAGCUGGUCUGAGAGGACGACCAGCCACACUGGAACUGAGAUACGGUCCAGACUCCUACGGGAGGCAGCAGUGGGGAAUUUUGGACAAUGGGGGCAACCCUGAUCCAGCCAUUCCGCGUGAGUGAAGAAGGCCUUCGGGUUGUAAAGCUCUUUCAGCUGGAAAGAAACGGCCACGGCCAAUACCCGUGGCUAAUGACGGUACCAGCAGAAGAAGCACCGGCUAACUACGUGCCAGCAGCCGCGGUAAUACGUAGGGUGCGAGCGUUAAUCGGAAUUACUGGGCGUAAAGCGUGCGCAGGCGGUUUUGCAAGACAGAUGUGAAAUCCCCGGGCUUAACCUGGGAACUGCAUUUGUGACUGCAAGGCUAGAGUACGGCAGAGGGGGGUAGAAUUCCACGUGUAGCAGUGAAAUGCGUAGAUAUGUGGAGGAAUACCGAUGGCGAAGGCAGCCCCCUGGGUCGAUACUGACGCUCAUGCACGAAAGCGUGGGGAGCAAACAGGAUUAGAUACCCUAGUAGUCC
rnacentral:rRNA from 1 species